GGCUCAAUGGUCUAGUAGUAUGAUUCCUGCUUUGGGUAAUGAUUACGUAUGCAGGAGGUCUCGGGUUCAAUUCCCGAUUGAGCCC